rnacentral:rRNA from 1 species
AGGGAAAGGUGAUAAUCUCCCCGGAAGGGUAGGGAAAUAGAUCCUGAAACCGUGUGCCUACAACAAGUCAAAGCUCGUUAAUGAGUGAUGGCGUGCCUUUUGUAGAAUGAACCGGCGAGUUACGAUUGCAUGCGAGGUUAAGUCGAAGAGACGGAGCCGCAGCGAAAGCGAGUCUGAAUAGGGCGAAUGAGUAUGUAGUCGUAGACCCGAAACCAUGUGAUCUACCCAUGUCCAGGUUGAAGGUGCGGUAAAACGCACUGGAGGACCGAACCCACGUACGUUGAAAAGUGCGGGGAUGAGGUGUGGGUAGCGGAGAAAUUCCAAACGAACUUGGAGAUAGCUGGUUCUCUCCGAAAUAGCUUUAGGGCUAGCCUCGGAAUUGAGAAUGAUGGAGGUAGAGCACUGUUUGGACUAGGGGCCCAUCUCGGGUUACCGAAUUCAGAUAAACUCCGAAUGCCAUUCAUUUAUAUCCGGGAGUCAGACUGCGAGUGAUAAGAUCCGUAGUCGAAAGGGAAACAGCCCAGACCACCAGCUAAGGUCCCAAAAUAUAUGUUAAGUGGAAAAGGAUGUGGGGUUGCACAGACAACUAGGAUGUUGGCUUAGAAGCAGCCACCAUUUAAAGAGUGCGUAAUAGCUCACUAGUCGAGUGACCCUGCGCCGAAAAUGUACCGGGGCUAAACAUAUUACCGAAGCUGUGGACUACACCAUUAGGUGUAGUGGUAGGAGAGCGUUCUAAGGGCGUUGAAGGUCGAUCGUGAGGACGGCUGGAGCGCUUAGAAGUGAGAAUGCCGGUAUGAGUAGCGAAAGACAGGUGAGAAUCCUGUCCACCGUAUGACUAAGGUUUCCUGGGGAAGGCUCGUCCGCCCAGGGUUAGUCGGGACCUAAGCCGAGGCCGAAAGGCGUAGGUGAUGGACAACAGGUUGAUAUUCCUGUACCAGUUGUUUUUGUUUGAGCAAUGGAGGGACGCAGUAGGCUAAGGAAUGCAUGCGAUUGGAAGUGCAUGUCCAAGCAAUGAGUCUUGAGUAGAGUUAAAUGCUUUACUCUUUAAGGACAAGUUGUGACGGGGAGCGAAAUAAUAGUAGCGAAGUUCCUGAUGUCACACUGCCAAGAAAAGCUUCUAGUGAGAAAACAACUGCCCGUACCGUAAACCGACACAGGUAGUCGAGGAGAGUAUCCUAAGGUGAGCGAGCGAACUCUCGUUAAGGAACUCGGCAAAAUGACCCCGUAACUUCGGGAGAAGGGGUGCUGACUUCGGUCAGCCGCAGUGAAUAGGCCCAAGCGACUGUUUAUCAAAAACACAGGUCUCUGCAAAAUCGUAAGAUGAAGUAUAGGGGCUGACGCCUGCCCGGUGCUGGAAGGUUAAGAGGAUGGGUUAGCUUCGGCGAAGCUCAGAAUUGAAGCCCCAGUAAACGGCGGCCGUAACUAUAACGGUCCUAAGGUAGCGAAAUUCCUUGUCGGGU